rnacentral:misc_RNA from 1 species
GAUGAAGAACGUAGUGAAAUGCGAUAAGUAAUGUGAAUUGCAGAAUUCAGUGAAUCAUCGAAUCUUUGAACGCACCUUGCGCCCUUUGGUAUUCCGAAGGGCAUGCCUGUUUGAGUGUCAUAUAAACCUCACCUCCACUGUUUUUCAUUAGACAUGUGGAUCGGUGCUUUGGGUGUCUGCCGUUUACUCUGGCUCGCCUUAAAUGUCUAAGUGGAAUGCGUCAUAAGUUCUUUCGCAAUCCUCCACUCUAAUCUACAACCUUUAUAUUCUGACCUCAAAUCAGGUAGGACUACCCGCUGAACUUAAGCAUAUCAAUAAGCGGAGGA